GCUAAUACCGCAUAACAAUGGAUGACACAUGUCAUUUAUUUGAAAGGGGCAAUUGCUCCACUACAAGAUGGACCUGCGUUGUAUUAGCUAGUAGGUGAGGUAAUGGCUCACCUAGGCGACGAUACAUAGCCGACCUGAGAGGGUGAUCGGCCACACUGGGACUGAGACACGGCCCAGACUCCUACGGGGAGGCAGCAUG
rnacentral:rRNA from 1 species